rnacentral:rRNA from 1 species
CCUACGGGUGGCAGCAGUAGGGAAUUUUCGGCAAUGGGGGGAACCCUGACCGAGCAACGCCGCGUGAACGAAGAAGUUAUUCGUAAUGUAAAGUUCUUUCAACAGGGAAGAAAGAGAAAUCUGACGGUACCUGAAGAAUAAGCUCCGGCUAACUACGUGCAAGCAGCCGCGGUAAUACGUAGGGAGCGAGCGUUAUCCGGAAUUAUUGGGCGUAAAGGGUGCGUAGAUGGCAUAGUAAGUCUUUUUGAAAAAUGCUGGGCUAAACCCAGUAGGGCAAAAGAUACUGCAGAGCUAGAGUGUGGCAGGGGCAAGUGGAACGACGAGUGUAGCGGUAAAAUGCGUAAAUAUAUGUAAGAACACCAGUGGCGAAGGCGGCUUACUGGAUCGAAACUGACAUUGAGGCACGAAAGCGUGGGGAGCAAACAGGAUUAGAUACCCGUGUAGUC